rnacentral:rRNA from 1 species
GUGAUUCGGGUGCAGCAGGCGCGAAAACUUCACAAUGGGAGAAAUCCCGAUGAGGGAAUACCAAGUGCCAGCACUUUUGUGUUGGCUGUUCUCUUGUCUAAAAAACAGGAGAAGUAAGGGCCGGGUAAGACGGGUGCCAGCCGCCGCGGUAAUACCCGCGGCCCGAGUGGUGGUCGAUAUUAUUGAGCCUAAAACGUCCGUAGCCGGUCUUGUAAAUCCUUGGGUAAAUCGGCCAGCUUAACUGUCCGAAGUCCGGGGAGACUGCAAGACUUGGGAUCGGGAGAGGUCAGAGGUACUUCUGGGGUAGGGGUAAAAUCCUGUAAUCCUGGAAGGACCACCGGUGGCGAAGGCGUCUGACUAGAACGAAUUCGACGGUGAGGGACGAAGCCCUGGGGCGCAAACGGGAUUAGAUACCCCGGUAGUCCAGGGUGUAAACGCUGCGGGCUUGGUGUUGGGGGUCCUUUGUGGGCGCCCAGUGCCGGAGAGAAGUUGUUAAGCCUGCUGCUUGGGGAGUACGUCCGCAAGGAUGAAACUUAAAGGAAUUGGCGGGGGAGCACAAUCGAAU